AUUGAACGCUGGCGGCAGGCCUAACACAUGCAAGUCGAACGGUAACAGGAAACAGCUUGCUGUUUCGCUGACGAGUGGCGGACGGGUGAGUAAUGUCUGGGAAACUGCCUGAUGGAGGGGGAUAACUACUGGAAACGGUAGCUAAUACCGCAUAACGUCGCAAGACCAAAGAGGGGGACCUUCGGGCCUCUUGCCAUCGGAUGUGCCCAGAUGGGUUUAGCUAGUAGGUGGGGUAACGGCUCACCUAGGCGACGAUCCCUAGCUGGUCUGAGAGGAUGACCGGCCACCCGGGAAUUGGGAAACGGCCCAGAUCCCGAGGGGGGGCAGCAGGGGGGAAUUUUGCCCAAUGGGGGAAAGCCUGAUGCAGCCAUGCGGGGGGUAUGAAGAAGGCCUUCGGGUUGUAAAGUCCUUUAGGGGGGGGGAAAGGGAGUAAAGUUAAACCCUUUACUCAUGGACGUUACCCGCAGAAGAAGCCCCGGCAAACUCCGU
rnacentral:rRNA from 1 species